GACGAACGCUGGCGGCGUGCUUAACACAUGCAAGUCGAACGGAAAGGCCCUGCUUGCAGGGUACUCGAGUGGCGAACGGGUGAGUAACACGUGGGUGAUCUGCCCUGCACUUCGGGAUAAGCCUGGGAAACUGGGUCUAAUACCGGAUAGGAGCUAUUUUUAGCGGGAUGGUUGGAAAGUUUUUUCGGGGUUGGAUGAGCUCGCGGCCUAUCAGCUUGUUGGUGGGGUAAUGGCCUACCAAGGCGGCGACGGGUAGCCGGCCUGAGAGGGUGGACGGCGACCUAGGGACUGAGAGGCGGCACAGACUCCUACGGGAGGCAGAAGUGGGGAAUAUUGCACAAUGGGCGCCGGGCUGAUGAAGAGGGGCCGCGUGGGGGAUGACGCCCUUCGGGUUGAAAAAUACUUGCGCUAGGAACGAAGCUUUUUGUGACGGUACCUAAAUAAGAAGCACCGGCUAACUACGUG
rnacentral:rRNA from 1 species